AUGAAAAUGAACGGGUUGGAUCCGGUGAAGCCGUGGGUUCGCUUGGGUAACCCCUGUGAUGAGAAUGAUAAAAACAUUUUUGCUGCUGCCACCAAGGUGUUGCUUGGCAACGGUAUUCGUGCUUCCUUCUGGGAGUCUGCUUGGCUAGAUGGCAUGAGACCCAAAGACAUCGCCCCGAAGAUUUUUGACCUAUCAAAAAGAAGGGGAUGUUCGGUUCAGAAGGCUUUGGAUAAUAACUUCUGGGUCUCUCAAGUCAAAACAGACGGGAUCACCUCCGCUACACACCUGACCGAGUUCGUCAACCUUUGGGAGAAAUUAUCUGUGGUGCAACUCAACCCCGACGUGGCUGAUUCUAUCUCUUGGAAGCUUUCUAAUGAUGGCUCUUACUCCGCGUCCUCGGCCUACAAGGUCCAGUUCCUGGGCUUAGUUGACUCCAACAUGCAACAGUUGGUGUGGAAGAUCUGGGCUCCCCCCAAAUGCAAAUUCUUUGCUUGGCUUGUGAUCAAUAAUAGGAUAUUGACGGCCGACAGGCUCCCACACCCUGGAUGGCCUAACUGUGAUCGCUGCCCCCUCUGCAAGCAAGUUCAGGAAACCGCGGCUCACCUCCUUUUCCAAUGCCGCUACACGGUUCGAGUUUGGGAAAUGAUCAAAUCUUGGCUUGGCUUGGUUGAUGUGAACCCUACGGCUUGGGUGACGGUCCAUUCGGUGAAAGACUAG
rnacentral:rRNA from 1 species